AAAUCGAUUUUCACUGAUUUGAAAUUGAAUAUUCGGUUUCAAAUCUCUUUUUUUCUUGUAGUGGUAGUUUUAGAGCCAAUGACAAGUUUGGAAGAGAUUUGGAGCUCAAAAAGUGAAAAAUGAAAAGCCAGAAGAAUUACAUGGGUGUAUAAGUUACCCCAUGUAACUUUUCAAACCCUGUACAACCUUCUAGAUAGAAGAAAACUUAAGAAACAAAGCUACAAAAAAUUACACAAGGUACCCUGUGUAACACUACAUGGCUUGUGUAAUGUUCCCAAAAAGCAAUUCUAACUUGACUUUGCUUCCUUCUAACUUGACUUUGCUUCCUUCUAACUUGACUUUGCUUCC
rnacentral:misc_RNA from 1 species